AGCGAACGCUGGCGGCAGGCCUAACACAUGCGAGUCGAACGAACCUUCGGGUUAGUGGCGGACGGGUGAGUAACACGUGGGAACGUACCUUUUGGUUCGGAACAACUCAGGGAAACUUGAGCUAAUACCGGAUGAGCCCUUAGGGGGAAAGAUUUAUCGCCGAAAGAGCGGCCCGCGUUAGAUUAGCUAGUUGGUGAGGUAAAGGCUCACCAAGGCAACGAUCUAUAGCUGGUCUGAGAGGAUGAUCAGCCACACUGGGACUGAGACACGGCCCAGACUCCUACGGGAGGCAGCAGUGGGGAAUCUUGCGCAAUGGGCGAAAGCCUGACGCAGCCAUGCCGCGUGAAUGAUGAAGGUCUUAGGAUUGUAAAAUUCUUUUACCAGGGACGAUAAUGACGGUACCUGGAGAAAAAGCCCCGGCUAACUUCGUGCCAGCCGCCGCAGUAAUAC
rnacentral:rRNA from 1 species